rnacentral:rRNA from 1 species
AUUGAACGCUGGCGGCAGGCUUAACACAUUCUAGUCGAGCGAGCGGCGGACGGGUGAGUAAUGUCUGGGAAACUGCCUGAUGGAAGGGGAUAACUACUGGAAACGGUAGCUAAUACCGCAUACCAUCAGAUGUGCCCAGAUGGGAUUAGCUAGGAGGUGGGGUAAGCGCUCACCUCGGCCACGAUCCCUCGCUGGUCUGAGAGGAUGACCAGCCACCCUGUAACUGAGACACGGUCCAGACUCCUACGGGAGGCAGCAGUGGGGAAUAUUGAACAAUGGGCGCAAGCCUGAUGCAGCCAUGCCGCGUGUGUGAAGAAGGCCUUCGGGUUGUAAAGCACUUUCAGCGAGGAGGCGUUACUCGCAGAAGAAGCACCGGCUAACGCCGUGCCAGCAGCCGCGGUAAUUC